rnacentral:rRNA from 1 species
UACGUAGGGUGCAAGCGUUGUCCGGAAUUAUUGGGCGUAAAGAGCUCGUAGGCGGUCUGUCACGUCGGAUGUGAAAACUCGGGGCUCAACCGCGGGCCUGCAUUCGAUACGGGCAGGCUAGAGUUCGGUAGGGGAGACUGGAAUUCCUGGUGUAGCGGUGAAAUGCGCAGAUAUCAGGAGGAACACCGAUGGCGAAGGCAGGUCUCUGGGCCGAUACUGACGCUGAGGAGCGAAAGCGUGGGGAGCGAACAGG